rnacentral:rRNA from 1 species
CCCUUAGAUGUUCUGGGCUGCACGCGCGCUACACUGACGCACGCAACAGGUGCCUGCUCCGAGAGGACUGGGUAAUCAUUUGAGUGUGCGUCGUGAUGGGGAUAGAAUAUUGUAAUUAUUACUCUUCAACGAGGAAUUCCUAGUAAGCGCCAGUCAGCAGCUUGCGCUGAUUACGUCCCCGCCCUUUGUACACACCGCCCGUCGCUCCUACCGAUGGGUGAUCCGGUGAAUGAUUCGGACUUCAGCGGCUCCCCUGGGGUGCGCCGGAGAAAGUUUUGUGAACCUUAUCACUUGGAGGAAGGAGAAGUCGUAACA